AUUUUAAUAGUUUAUUCUGAUAUAUUAUGUAUAGAGCAUAGCACUGAAGAUGCUAAGGAAGCAGACCGCCUUAAAAACA
rnacentral:tRNA from 1 species